rnacentral:tRNA from 1 species
GCCCGGGUGGCGGAAUUGGUAGACGCAAGGGACUUAAAAUCCCUCGGUCGCAAGACCAUGCCGGUUCGAUUCCGGCCCUGGGCA